rnacentral:rRNA from 1 species
CAAUAGCGUAUAUUAAUGUUGUUGCAGUUAAAAAGCUCGUAGUUGGAUUUCUGGUGGGAGCGGCCGGUCCGCCGUAAGGUGUGUACUUGGUUGUCUACUGUCAUCCUUGUGGGAACUGCUCUGGCAUUAAGUUGUCGGGGUUAGGGAACACAUCGUUUACUGUGAAAAAAUUAGAGUGUUUAAAGCAGGCUUAUGCCGUUGAAUACAUUAGCAUGGAAUAAUAAGAUAGGACUUUGGCGUCUAUUUUGUUGGUUUGCACACCAAGGUAAUGAUUAAUAGGGAUAGUUGGGGGUAUUCGUAUUUAAUUGUCAGAGGUGAAAUUCUUGGAUUUAUGAAAGACGAACUUCUGCGAAAGCAUUUACCAAAGAUGUUUUCAUUAA